rnacentral:hammerhead_ribozyme from 1 species
AUCCAGAUGACGAGUCCGAAAUAGGACAUAAUGCGCAUCUUGAAU